rnacentral:lncRNA from 1 species
GGCCCUGCACAACUUGUGUGUUUUUAUCUUUGUCCAGAAGAUAUAAUCCAGCCUGAAUGAAUUUCCCAGUCCCUAUUUUAUUUUCCAUAGCAAAUGUUGUAAUUCACAGUAACGUAAUGGGAAGCAAAUUGUAAUAAGUGCAUUGCCUUUUUGCCUUUUGUAGCUUGAAAGCAGAAUAAUAGCAAAUUAGAGGCUAGGGAAGGGAUUUCUCCAAGCAUAGGGAAAGGCAUGCUGAUGGUUGUAUGGGAAGUGUUCCUUUCAGGGUUGUCAAACACUGGGUGACAAGAUUAUCUUUGUUGGAUCAGAAAGCAGAAGCAUCUCAACAAGAGAAUCCUUGCCUUAAGAACUCCACAACAAUAAGAAGAAUCAUCACCAAAUACCCCUUUUCAAGGUGUAAUGAGUAAGUUGUCCCUUAUUAAGCACCUUUGCAAGUUGAGGGUCCUUAAAUUCAGGGUUAAAAUGUCCUGAGCCACGCUUUCAUCUUGGCUGGGUGUUUGUGCUUGAGAAACACAGAAAAUUGCACAAAAUGGCUCUACAGGUCAAUCUUUUCAAGCCCCACUGUGCCUAUGCCCUUUCCUUAUAGACUCCACAAGCCAACUUGGGGAGUUUUGUGCCAAGUUAGCUCCUCCCUUUGUGGCUUUCUGGAAUUUCAUCCUCCCUGUGGAAUGUGCCAUAUGUGUGACUGCAUAGAGAGCAACCCCAACCCCCAGUCUGACAUUCCCUGUCACACUUUGGGUUUGGACCUAACUCGCUGUGACUGAGGGACAGCAACAGGAGCAAAAGCUUAUGCUGCAGUUCAGAUGGUUCUAGGCUGGUGCAUAAAGAAUUCUGUUCCCCCAAAAGAAUCUGUGAAUGAAUGGCUGUAUCUGAGACACAACUUGGUGCUGGCAAGGCUGCAGCAGGAUUUCUGCGUUUUUGCCUGCCUUCCUUCCCAGCUUUUUUUUUUGCGACUGGUUCCUUGAAACACCAGGAUCCACAGAACUGGAAUGCUAUUGCAGCUUGCUGUCAGACUUUAUUUGGAUGUAGUGCACAGUCUGAAAUGUUUUAUAUAACAAAAAUGUAAAAUUCCUCUAACACUGUCCUGUAACACUUUAAGGAGAGAGAAAAAUCUAGGUGCACGUUCCAUUUCAGGCUUUAAACUUCUUCCCCUCCUUUGCAAUUACAUGUGAAAUGAAGUGAAAUUGUGGAGUGAUAUUCUGAACCUAAAAGCUGGUGUAAUUCAUUCCAUGCCUACUCUGUUGGGUUUUUUAAAUCUGUACUUUUAAUUUCUUAUGCAGAACUUUAUCAGUCUAUCUUUAAGAACAUGUCUAGUGGAAAAAUCCAAACCUCUUCCUUAUCAAGUCUUAUUUCUCAUGUUUUAAAAAUGACAUUUUAAUAGAGGAGUUAUUUCAAUUAAUCAAGUUUUAAAAAGUAAUAAGGGUGCCUGGAAUGCAUAGAAUGUCAAAACAUCUGGUUCUGAGAUUUUUGCAGUGAUUUCUGCAGUGCUUUAGAAGGAUGGCAGCUAAUGAUAUGAAUCAGCAGCCCCAAAAUAUUCCCUGCUCAGACAGUAGAAACUUUCUUGAAUUAUAUUUAUUUUGGUGCAGGAUUAAAACUCAAAUGGAAGCUCUUGGACUGUAAAAAAUAAAUUAGUGAGAUUGAGCUGGCA